AUGCGUGUAGCUCAACGGUAGAGCGAGGCCAUAAAGCUGGGGUUGUGGGUUCGAAUCCCGUCACGUAAG
rnacentral:tRNA from 1 species